GCGCUUGUAGCCCAGUUGGAUAGAGCGUUUGGCUACGAACCAAAAGGUCGGGGGUUCGAAUCCCUCCAAGCGCG
rnacentral:tRNA from 4 species